rnacentral:sRNA from 1 species
GCCAGAGGUGGUGGUGUGUACCUGUAUUUUCAGCCUCUAGGGAGGAUGAAGCUGGAGGAUCUCUUGAGCCCAGGAGUUCAAGACCGGCCUGGGCAACACAGUGAGACCCUGUUCCCC